rnacentral:rRNA from 1 species
UGGGGAAUAUUGGACAAUGGGCGCAAGCCUGAUCCAGCCAUGCCGCGUGAGUGAUGAAGGCCCUAGGGUUGUAAAGCUCUUUCACCGGAGAAGAUAAUGACGGUAUCCGGAGAAGAAGCCCCGGCUAACUUCGUGCCAGCAGCCGCGGUAAUACGAAGGGGGCUAGCGUUGUUCGGAAUUACUGGGCGUAAAGCGCACGUAGGCGGACCAUUAAGUCAGGGUGAAAUCCCGGAGCUCAACUCCGGAACUGCCUUUGAUACUGGUGGUCUAGAGACCGAGAGAGGUAAGUGGAACUCCUAGUGUAGAGGUGGAAUUCGUAGAUAUUAGGAAGAACACCAGUGGCGAAGGCGGCUUACUGGCUCGGAACUGACGCUGAGGUGCGAAAGCGUGGGGAGCAAACAGGAUUAGAUACCC